rnacentral:rRNA from 1 species
UACGUAGGGGGCAAGCGUUGUCCGGAAUCAUUGGGCGUAAAGCGCGUGUAGGCGGCUUGGUAAGUCUGCUCUGAAAGCCCGGGGCUCAACCCCGGGAGGCGGGUGGAUACUGUCAAGCUCGAGUCCGGAAGAGGAGUGUGGAAUUCCUGGUGUAGCGGUGAAAUGCGCAGAUAUCAGGAGGAACACCAAUGGCGAAGGCAGCACUCUGGGGACGUGACU